rnacentral:ncRNA from 1 species
GCACGCCUGUCGGGACCCGAAAGAUGGCGAACUAUGCCUGAGCGGGGCGAAGCCAGAGGAAACUCCGGUGGAGGCUCAUAGCGAUACUGACGCGCAAAUCGUUCGUCUGACCUGGGUAUAGGGGCGAAAGACUAAUCGAACUAUCUAGUAGCUGGUUCCCUCCGAAGUUUCCUUCAGGAUAGCUAGAGCCCAUUACGAGUUCUAU